UACAGAGGUCUCAAGCGUUGUUCGGAUUCAUUGGGCGUAAAGGGUGCGUAGGUGGCGCUGUAAGUCGGGUGUGAAAUUUCGGAGCUUAACUCCGAAACUGCAUUCGAUACUGCGGUGCUUGAGGACUGGAGAGGAGACUGGAAUUCAUGGUGUAGCAGUGAAAUGCGCAGAUAUCAGGAGGAACACCGGUGGCGAAGGCGGGUCUCUGGGCCGAUACUGACGCUGAGGGACGAAAGCUAGGGGAGCGAAUGGG
rnacentral:rRNA from 1 species